AGGUUGCUGCAAGCUAGCCCGAGUGAGACUCGUGCACGAGCUUCACUUAAGGGAAGUCUCGCGCCAAACGGUGACGCGCUUUUACCAUUGAGGAGUUUGGACGCCAACAUCAGCGCCCCGCGGAAAAUAGAGUUCCUUGAUAAGAUGGAAAGAGGUGCUGGAGUUGGACCAGGAUCUGUAUCAAGUGCAGUAGCACAGUCUCUUGGAUACAGGGAACCUGAUUGGCCGAGAGUGCAUGCUGGGCAUGCCCAAUCACAGGGCAUUUCCAUGGAGCUUACCAGCCAAUGGGAGGAGGAAGAUGGUCAAUGUGAUUUCAUUGUCACUAAGGGAGGUGGAAACAUACUGCCAGGACAGUUAGCAGCAACAUGCUAAGAGGUGGACUCUAUUAUAGUGAGAGUCUUGUGUUUGAGAUAACCUGUGGAGCCAGAUCAAGCGAGAGAAAGGCACAAGAUGAGUCUCCUCUCAAACAUGCACACAAGCUCACAGUGCACUCACGUCACUGUUAUUGGUGCUACUCACGUCACAGGACUGAAUGGGUUGAUUUGUGAGAAACGUCAUCCUGCUUAAAGGUUGUCGCUCCUCUCUCAAUCUGUCCUUCUGUUUUUCCUUGGCCUGAUUUUACCCCCGUUUUACAUUUAUUUGGGCCUUAAUCCCUUGACAGGACACCUACAUUUCUCUGGGGAUGCUAUUUCUUAUUAUAUUAUCAUUAAUUCAUCUGCAGAACAUUUUUCUCAGUGAAUAGUUAGUCAAUAGUCUGUAAAGUACAAUUUCAAAGAGACCCAAUUGAAAUGAUUUGUUUUGUCUGAACAGGCCAAAAUCUGAAAAUUCCUGGAGAAGCAGCAAUUCCUCCCACAGGAGAAGCCCAAGUUGAUCCAUCAAUGAAUGAGUUAGUUGCCGCCUUGUUUUGAGCUCAAGCUUAUACUUGACAAUUAAUGUGCAAAAUGAAAACACAAAUCUUCCCUGUUCAGGUGGACAGUCCAAAACUGCAAAUAUACAACAAUAUACAAUAAUGUUAUCAUAUUAUAAUAUUAAUAUACAUCAAGUACAGAGGAAUCGAAACUAAUUACUAAUGUAAUUUAGGGCUUUCGGUUACAAAAAUGCCAAAAAUAUUUUAAUCAUUUUAAAGCACUUAAUAUGUUGAUGCAAAAAAGAAUUGUACACUGAGAAUUUUUUUUUCAGUCAUAAUAAAUACAGAUUCUUUUGUGUCAAAAGUCUCUGUAUAGAAACAUAAAAAUCCAGUAGACUUUGUCACUUUAAUGUGGGGAAUUUACUCCAAAAAACCCCAAAAAACUAGAAAACUGCAGCACACUCUCCUCUUAACUCAUGAUCAGGAAAACUUGAAUGAUGUCUCAGUAUACAGACCUUCAUCAGGUUGAAUUACAAGAAAAAAAAGGGAGAGCUCAUCUUAGAAAGGAUUAUAGACUGACACUCGAAAUAUUAUGAAUCACAGCUGGAACAAUCAAGGCACACUACGGAUGAAUUAGUCAA